UCAAGCUUCAAGAGGUAUUUAUGUAUUCAUUUGUGAUGCCAUCCUUGAUAUGAUCCUGUUAUUGUCACAUGCUACACAUGUACAUAUGUGUGUCCAUCCAUCUAUCAAUCCAAUGUUAUCAUGAUUUGUUAUCAGGGAUAUUAUACUUUAGUAAUCCACAAUGACCUGGUGAUGUAACAGUCUAAUAAUUACAUUGUCUUCCAUAUUCCUACAGAUACCUUGUAACUGAAGAUUCCUUCAAAACGAUUGCCUACAGUUACCAUGUAGGGCACUGCAAGGUUGGCUGACCAGCGUCAUCUGGGACUGCCUCCUGGAGGAAUUCAGGUGUGUGAAGGCUACCUGUGUCCUGCGUAACUUCAUGAGGAUGGACACGCGGACCAGGAGGGGAUCUGCAGCUCGCCGCCGUGUCCCAGAGGAGGAGUCUGCUGCUCUGCAGGAUGUUUCAAAGAUGGGGUCCAACAACGUAGCAAGAGAGGCAAUCCGUGUGCAGGAGAACUUCACCUCCUACUUCUUCAAAGAGGGUGCUGUUCCCUGGCAACACCAUAGACUACACCAUGCACAACCAAAGGCUCUUUUAAGAGCCAUCCACAUUGCAAUAAGAGUAUUCUUCCAUUUACUUAGCUAUGUCAACUGCAGUUAUUCAAUUCCCAGUUUCUCUCCCUUUGAUUUCUACUUCUCAGGUGAGGGUGCUGUUUAGGUAAGGGUGUGAUGUCUGUGCAAAAACAAAACAGGCUAUUUUAAAUCACCCAUAUUGAAGAAAUGUAGAGCAAUUAGACACCCUAUAACCCACACCUAUAUACUCAUGUAUCAAUCUGAUUGAUGGAUUGUGUUGUGCAGUAAGCAGGCUCAGGUGUAUAACUGUUGCUCCUUCCACCUUCAAAGAAUAGGCAAGAGGGCCAACCAUGGAGAAUAUUAAGACACUUCAUUAUUUCUAUAACUACACUAUAUUGUUUGUCCUCAUGUGUCCAUUCAUGUUUUUCAGCAUAAAGUACUCUGCAGCCACUUAGUGUGGUGUGGACACCAGGUUAUAUCAGCUGUGUCGGUGAACCCCUCCUGCAUCUGAACUGGCUACAUAGAUGGCACAGCAUGAUCAUAGGUGAGAGGUCACUUGGUCAGGUCAACAGGAAGUAUUAUUAAAGAUAUGCUUUACAUUGAAAUACAUUGAAAUACAGACAGAGAUGCAGUAGUCCCAGAGUUAAUGAUCCAAGGUCAGUUUAUAUUAUACAGGAAGUAUUAUUAAAGAGAUGCUUUACAUUGAAAUACAGAUAGAUGCAGUAGUCCCAGAGUUAAUGAUCCAAGGUCAGUUUAUAUUAUACAGGAAGUAUUAUUAAAGAGAUGCUUUACAUUGAAAUACAGACAGAGAUGCAGUAGUCCCAGAGUUAAUGAUCCAAGGUCAGUUUUGCAUUUCACCUCCUGAUUGAUGACUAACAAUGUUAGAAUAAAAAAUAAAAAACACAAGGCUUAAACAUGCUCUCUCUCUCCAGCUGUCUCUCGUCUGCAGAUAUGUUUUGAUGUGAGUCCCCAAUCCCAUCAUCGCCACCUCACUCUCUUUUAAGAUCACCUUUAGGCCGACGUGAGACAAUAUUAUGUAAUUGUGAUGAACUGAGAGAAUAUUUCGGUAGCACUGUGAUUCAUUAAUCAUGUGCUGCGUUCCCUGCUCCUAUGUGUUUCCCUUUUUCCCUUUCUGUCUUUUACACCUCUCCCGACACCUCCUCUUUCUUCCUAAUGCACAACAGAUGUGCAUUGAAGUACAUAUUGAACUUUUAUUUAUAACACUUGGAUAAUGAGCUUUUCAAUAAAGCGUUUCACAUUC